GAGCCGCUGUAACCGGCCACUUCCAAAUCGCUCCACUACCACAACCGUUGCGACCUGGCUAAGCCGCCAGUAGCCUCGCUCAUCUUCACCCGCCGUUUCUACACGAGAAGAUGAAUCACCGAUUGGUCUACAAAAACAAAUCCAGACACCGAGGAGUACUAAGUGGAAAGUGUUCUGUUCACACAAGAUUCUAGAUACCAGUUGGGUGCUAUGCUGCUGCUGCAUCAGAGCAAGUACAAUAGUCCUAUUCAGCAGGCUGCAACAGAGUCCACAUCAGCAAAAAUCUGAGCUGGAGAGAAAAAAUAAAGAAGAGAUAAGGAGCGGUCUCUUCGUGAAGCGCCGGGCUAAGACACAGAACACGAGAGCCUUCCGCCCGCUUGCAGCCCGAUGCGAGCGCUAGCGCCGCCGCUUCCGAUCCCGUGCGUCUCCCUUGCCUCGUGUGCUUCUCCUUCCACCUUCGCGCGCGGAAUCCAUCUUUCCCUCGCUCCAAAUCGCUUGGUGCACGCCAAAUCGAAGCUUUAAAGUCUCCAGCUUCCCCCAAAUCGCCACCACCCCAAAACCUAGAACAGCCGCCGGCGCCGCAUCAAGGAGAUGGGUCAGCAGUCCAAAAGGAUGUGUGCACCGACGCCUCAGGUCGUCCCGCCAUCGCUACCUCAAUUCCUUCCGCCGUUGAUGCCACAUCUCGUCCCGCCGUCGGCGCCACACCUUGUUCCGCCGCUGUCGGCGCCACACCUCGUCCCGCCGCCACGCCAGCCCGGACCAGGUGCCUCGAUUCCUCCACAGCCACCAAAGGCAGCGGCAGCCUCUGCACCAUGCUGGCUCCCCCAGACGCAAGGCCCUUUGUGGUACACGAAUGUUGAUGAUCUGAAUCCAGAAGCAUGGGUAGUGGAUUCUCACCCACUGGUGGGUUCCUUGGUUUUUUUAAGAACACGCCAAGCCUUUCACAAGCUGUGAGCAAUGGGACUUUAUCGCAACAAAUCAAGAAAGGAGAUGCCACCAAUGGUGGCGAGUGUGCAAGGACUGAAAAGCGCUUGCUGUGGACAAAAGAGGAAGAUCUUAGAUUCGUUGGUGCUUGGUUGAAUAAUUGAAACGAUCCAAUCCAAUCAAAUUACAAGAAGAAUGACCAAUACUGGAAUGAAGUUGCUGCUGUCUACAAUAGUACCACCCCCCCCCCCCCAAAACAGGGAAAGGCUAGUCAAGCAAGUGAAGGAUCGCUUUGGGAGAAUUAAGAAAAGGGUUGCAUGGUUUUGUGGGAGUUACAAGGAAGCUAGUGCACUGUAUGCUAGUGGUGAAUCUGAUGCAGAUUUAAAGAAGAGGGCAAUGCAAACUUAUGAGGCAGAUCACCCAGAAGACGGUCCAUUUAUGUUUGAGCAUUGUUGGGUAGUUCUAAAGAGCAACCAAAAUGGGAUGCAUAUUUGGAACGCCUGGAAUAUGUGGAGCCGGACAAGAGGAAGUUUAGUGUUGAUGAUGAAGUGGGGCAACGUUUCACUCUAGAUGAUGAUAAAGAGGAACGUCCACCGGGUGGCAAGACAGCUAAAGGAAACGAAAAACAAAGGACGAAGGUUGUAUAAUAGAUCUUGAAGAUGAGCUUAGCAAGUUUUUAGAUGCUCAGAAUGCAGCAAAUGAAGGCCGCAAAGAGAUGUUAGAGACACAAAGGCGUGUGUCCAGUGAGAAUCUUGAGGCUCGGAAACUUGCAUGCCUUGCAGCAAAAGAUCACAAGGAGUCGGUCAUGCUAGAAACAUACCGCUCCUUGAUGAUGCAAGACACAAGUAGGAUGUCUGAAGAUGUGAGAUCCGAGCACAUGUUGGCAUUGAAGUGUUUCAGGGAGAAGCUAUUUGGAAAAACUGACCAAGGACUAUGCCGUGUCAUGGUGACUGCUGCAUGUGCAACCUACUGUGGCUGAAGAUUGUUGAUGCAGAUGGAUUCGUUGCUCCAUUUACCAUCAAAACUAAUGGCUUAUUUGCAUUGUCUCUUGUUUGGUUAAUGUUUUCUUAAAAAGACGGGUUGUAAUGUUUAAGUGUCGAUGUCAUGGUGUUAUGCGCCAUCAGUUUAUUGAUCGUCGGCAUCAAGAUUAAAACUAACGGCUUGUUUGCCGGGCGUCUUAUUUAGUUCUAUGUUUGGUUAAUGCUUCCUUGGAAAGACUCAAGCAAUGUUCAACUGUUU